rnacentral:rRNA from 1 species
AGAACGAACGCUGGCGGCAUGCCUAACACAUGCAAGUCGAACGCGUGUAGCGAUACACGAGUGGCGGACGGGUGAGUAACGCGUGGGAACCUGCCCUGGAGUGUGGGAUAACCGAGGGAAACUUCGGCUAAUACCGCAUACGACCUGAGGGUGAAAGAUUUAUCGCUUAAGGAGGGGGUCGCGGCAGAUUAGCUAGUUGGCGGGGUAAUGGCCCACCAAGGCAGUGAUCUGUAU